CUGAUGAACUCCAUCUGUAUUCCACAGGAACACUGUCAUACAGCCCCCCGGAAUGGACCCACUUGGGCUGGUACUACGGAGAGGCAGCAACGAUCUGGUCCCUGGGCAUCCUGCUGCACCAGAUGGUCUGCGGGCAGCACCCUUUCAGGAGGGGCCGGAAGAUCAGCUGGGACCAUCAGCUCUCGCUGCCACAGCGGCUCUCUCCAGAGUGCCAAGAUCUUAUCAGGUGGUGUUUAUCCAUGCACUUCUUGGACAGACCUUCCUUAGAAGACCUGUUCUGUGAACCUUGGAUACAGGAUAUUCACCUGCCAUAGAAGAAGGGAGAGAGCCACAUGCACACUUUGCUGCAGGGCCCUGCUGGGGCCCUGGGCAGAACCCUGACAGCCUGGUCUGACCCCCAGGGAAGGAGAAGGAGCCCCUGGAGAAGCUGUACCAGGUGGGGCUGCUGCUGCUGCUGGAGACAGUGAGGAUGACAUCAAGGAUGACAAACUCUUCCUCAAGUUGGCCACUGGCAGCUGAAGAUGAUGGACUUCUGGCACCGUCUUCAAAGCCAGGCUCCACAGCGAAUUUGCAGAUGAGUCCACAGCCGGGGAAAUGCUCCCAGAUUUGGGCAUUGCUCAGACUGGCUGGGAACAAAAGGUUCCCCCUGUGCUGGGGCAGAUGCAA